UAGGCCUAUAGCUCAAUGGUGGAGCAUCGCUUUGAUAAAGCGAAGGUUAUUGGUUCAAGUCCAAUUAGUCCUAA
rnacentral:tRNA from 1 species